rnacentral:rRNA from 1 species
CCUACGGGUGGCAGCAGUGGGGAAUAUUGGACAAUGGGGGCAACCCUGAUCCAGCCAUGCCGCGUGUGUGAAGAAGGCCCUCGGGUUGGAAAGCACUUUCAGUGAGGAAGAACGCCUGGUGGUUAAUACCCAUCAGGAAAGACAUCACUCACAGAAGAAGCACCGGCUAACUCCGUGCCAGCAGCCGCGGUAAUACGGAGGGUGCGAGCGUUAAUCGGAAUUACUGGGCGUAAAGCGCGCGUAGGUGGCUUGAUAAGCCGGUUGUGAAAGCCCCGGGCUCAACCUGGGAACGGCAUCCGGAACUGUCAAGCUAGAGUGCAGGAGAGGAAGGUAGAAUUCCCGGUGUAGCGGUGAAAUGCGUAGAGAUUGGGAGGAAUACCAGUGGCGAAGGCGGCCUUCUGGACUGACACUGACACUGAGGUGCGAAAGCGUGGGUAGCAAACAGGAUUAGAUACCCCAGUAGUC